CCCGUGCUGUUCUGUUCGGCUGUUCCCAUCCAGAUCGAGCCAUCCUCACUCCGCCGGCUCCACGAUUGGCCUGGCCGCUCCGGCGCCCGCCUCCCUCCUCCACUGACUUCCCCGGCCCCGGUGGCCCUUGCUCCCCAGUCCUCUCGUUCCCCAUAAAGCCGUCCUCACUCUCUCACGCCCCCCGCCCGCGGCUGCGCUUGACUCCAAACUCGGCGACCUCCGAGCACGAGCAGUCUCGCCGUCAUUGUCCACUGCCGCCGGCGAGCUCCGGCCGGUGACGUCCUGAGGGCCUGAACGCGACAGAAUUUGAAGUACAACUUUCUGCUUCUUUAUUCUGCGCUCUUGAAUGCUUGGCAUCUGCGGUGCCUGCACGGACUUGCAUUUAAGACCUACAAUUUGAUGAGAAGAAGAUUGGCAGAACAUUUAUCUUACAUUCCCAGAUCUCUUUCCUUGAUACAACUCAAGGAAAUGUCCUCAUUUUCUGCUGGUCAUGGACGCCGGCCGAAGAAGAAGCUUUACCACCGUGAGCCUGACCUUGACAAGGCCAUGGACCUCCAAAAGAAGCCCGCUCUCCUCCUUCGUCUCCGUGAGCUCAUCUUGGCCCAAAAGAAAGGAUCACUACUUGUACGUGACCUUGAAAAGGAGGUUGGUUUUGUCCAAAAAUGGAACUUUGUUUCACUUAUCGAGCGCCAUCCCAAUAUCUUCUGUGUCUCUGGUGGAAGUACAUCGCGUGAGCCCAUUGCUGUCACGCUUACUGAGAAGGCCAGAAAUAUUUCUGGUGAAGAGAUCCAGGCACAGGAGCUAAUGGAACCUAUCUUGGUAAGAAAUCUGAGGAAGCUGUUAAUGAUGUCGAUGGACUGCCAAAUCCCUUUAGAGAAGAUUGAGCUCAUCCAACUUGAAUUGGGUUUACCAAAGAACUUCAAGGACAAGUUGAUUCCUAGUUACCCUGAUUUUUUCUCAAUCCGUGAUGUGAGAGGCUUGGACCAUCUGUGUUUGGAGAGUUGGGAUUCUUCACUAGCAGUCACAGCACGAGAAGAAACAUUGAAUUUUGAUGGUUUCCAAAUGGAUUAUAGAGGGGUUCCUAAAGAUGGGAAUAUACUGGGUCCUUUUGCUUUCAAGUUAAAGUAUCCAGCAGGAUUUAGGCCCAACCGCAAGUACAAUGAGGAGGUAGUCAGGUGGCAGAAGAUGGCAUUUCCUUCACCUUAUUUGAAUGCUAGGAGAGUGGAGCCUGCAACUCCACAGGCUCGAAAGCGAUCUGUUGCUGUUCUACAUGAGAUCUUAAGCUUGACAAUGCAGAAACGACUGACAUCUGAUAAGCUAGAAGUCUUCCAUAAUGAGUACAGGCUGCCAUGCAAGUUACUUCUUUGCUUAGUAAAAAAUCAUGGUAUCUUCUACAUCACUAACAAGGGAGCAAGAAGUACCGUCUUCCUCAAGGAGGCCUACGAUGAUACUAACCUCAUUGAGAAGUGUCCCCUUCUGAAAUUCCAUGAUCAGUUUUCAUCUUUAAUUGGCCGAUCAUGCUCCGACUUAAAUACUCCACUGGCAGUAUAGCUCGAGUGAUAUUGAUUUACAUGAGAAGCGAAACCAUGGUGCGUCUGGCUGGUGCAUCUUCUUUGUUGAUUGCUUGAUGUUCACAUGAGCCCACUUGCACACAACAAACCAUGCAAUUCCUCUGUACAAUGGAUGUGUCUUGUGCCUUAUUAGGUGUUGAAGAUAAAACUGUAAACAUCAACAUCACAUCUGUAAAUAUGAAGCACCCCAGGAAUCAAGUUGCAGCUCAGCUGAUGAGACAUCCAUGUUUUUACUGAGGUCACAAGUUCAGUUGGAAUGUAGGGGUUGAGGGAUUUGAGAGGAUUAAGAGCAUGAUUGGUUUGAUACCAAAAUUUGGCAUGCCAAGGUUUGGCAAAUGCCAAAUGUUGGCUAGUGAUUGGUUUGUUUCUUGUCAAGCUCACAAAAACUUGCCAAAUUUUGACAACUUUUGAUUUACCAAAUGUUGGCAUCAAACCAAUCAGCCUCUAACUCCAGUUGUGCAGCUUAUAAUGCCAAAAAAAGAAGAUUGCCCCAUUUCUGUUAAGCAAGACUAAUGCGCAUGGGCUAUAGUCCUCACCCCACGCAUCUUUGUAAUCUACAGUGGCAAUUGUUCAGCGGAUGGAAGUCACAAAGGGUCAACUAAGUGAAGAUGGCCUACCGAUCACUACAGGAUCUUUAUCCAGCAGGAACAGAAUCAAUACGCUGUGCACCAGCCAAGUAUAGAGAAAAUACAAGGAGUGCUUUGAUGGAUUGAUUAAGGGCUGUGCAAUGUCAUCCUCCGAAAGCCUGUAGGUUACGUGAUUGUGUUGGCCCUGAAUAAUGACUGACAAAAUCGGGGAACAUGGCUUACUGUUGAUCUUGGACCUUGAUUCUACUCUAGGCAUGCAAAGCUGUAUCAGUUUGUUGUGCCAAUCAAUACAAUACCUCCAACAGGCUAUUCAUGGGCAGGUUUAAAUCCCUUUCAGACCUUCUUGAGUAUGUUCUGAUAUUCCUGCAUUGAAGUGGUUGUCAACAUGAUGUCUUAGUGGGAGAUGCAUAUGUUAACUCCAACGCUAAAAAUAGCUCUCAGUGGGAUCCAAUCAGAUGAUCAUAUGCUAGGUAAAGAAGGACCGACACAAUUAUGCAUGGUGUGGACACAUGGAGCCAGGUGCGAUGAGGCCAACUAACUGGCUGCUGCUCAAUUAUAACCCCUGAAAGUUAAGAGCAUGAACAGGAGCAGUGAUUGGGACCAGAUUCUGCAGACACUAGCCUAUUAUAUGUGGUCACGAGCCUGGUCAGAUGCACCGAGAACUAGAUUUGGAUGGUUGAUAGCCUAGGAUGGAGACUGGAGGCCCACCCCUUCCUGAUCCUGUUUGUUUUUCUUCUCCUGGUAAGGGUGAAGACGUACAGAUUAUUCUAGCCCAAUUCCCCAGAAACGACGAUUUUAUUCCAUGUCAAUGAGACUGAGCACCAGCAUGUGGAGGGGGGAAUGAAUCAUUCCACGGUUAGCUCAUCACAAGCUGGGUCAAUCAAUCAAUUUAGGUCGGCAUUUAGAUAGCUUCUGGGCUGUGGCCACAUUGCAAUCAUCGUACACACGCCUAUCUUAUGGGUUGGGCUCGGUGGCUCCUUUCUUCAACUCUAGGGCAUAUUUCUUGGAUCUUCUUCUUUUUUUCCUUAUCAACUCCAGGGUAUGAAAUUAGCAUGUUGUACCAUCCACCCAUGGAUCGAUGAUGGGACUCGAUGGGAGACGCUAGCUAAACGAAACAAAGCUCAUUCCUGGUGAGGUAACAUGGCGUGCGUGCCAUCUGCUUGCACUGUCACAUGUUACAGAGGAUGAGCAUAGUCCAUGCCAACUUUUUGUUCAAUCUGAAACAGCUCUUCUUGUCGUUCUGGGCGCCUGAUAAUGCUGUCUCCAUUUGCCGACCCAUGUACAGUGACUUGUGCAAGCUGCAUUGCCUCCCUUGUCCUGUGCUGGUCGACGAAAGCCACACCUGCUGCUGCUCUCUCUCCUGCAUCUUUCUGCCAAGAAAUGUUUCCCGGAGCUAUUCGCUGUUUGUUGCCAUGCGUUUGGCCCCUCUGUUAUCUUUCCGUCUAACAUUCUUUUUAUGCGGACGGUCCUGUUUCCAGCGUCUGUUCAGUUCUGUAUUGUGCAAAAUUACUGGCCACUAGCAGCACUAUCGGUCGACGUGGUAUUUAGUAGUACCUCCGGGUCAAUUUUGUGUGCCUGUUGCAGCAAUUGUGGUGCACUGACUGGUGCGGGCCGGGGCGCAAAAUGGAAACGAAAACGAAAGGGAAAGGCUCGGUCACAAGAAAGAAAGAAGGAGGCGAUGGCAUGGAGCCAUGGAGAGUUGGAGACCGAGCGCUGGUGUAUGUGUUGUGCUGACUCUGCAGCUAGCUCAUCCGCUUGGCGUGAGCGCAUGUACCUAUCUUAUCUACUGCCGGGUGGUGGAAGCGGACGCGAUGGCGAUGCAUCAUCUCGACCGCAUCUGCUGCAUGCAUUUGUUUGUCAAAGAAAGAAGUUUGUUCCCUACCCUUGGUGCUGUGAUCCAUCCGAGCUAGCCUGACGCGAACGGUAGGCGGCAUGCAUCCUGGCAUGCACCAACUGCCCCCGCUCCUUUCGGCAGCACCACCACGGCAUCGGCACAGACCAGACCUCCUUUUUGGCUUUUGCGAUGGAUGGAGGUUGCCGCCCGCCCCGGAGCACGGCCGCUGCACCGCACCGCACCGCACCAGCCCCACUCCUAGAGGCCGGCGUCCAUCCAAAGCCAAACCAAGCACACCUCCUUCCUCGGGACGCGAUGCCUUUAUCCGAUCGAUCUGGUCCGAGGUGACGCACGCGCGGCGCGGCCGGCUGGGGAUGGAUUGACACAAUGAGACGAGGAGAGGAUGCACACGCACCAACAGCGUGGGCGGGGCGUGCGGUGCGGACGGCAACGGCAACGCCGUGCCGGCCGUGUGUGGCCUACAGCCUAGUUAGGUAUAGCACAGGCAAAGCCAAAGUGGGGAGGGACGCUAUCCUCCGCAUGAGGAGGCCGGAGGAAGCAACAAUCUCGAUCGUGAGGUCUGCUGUGCUGGUUGCGUGCCCGGCUGCAACCACAUACUCCUACCUAAACUUAUCACCCGCCUGCAAUGUCAUGCGAUUUGGAUGGACCAUGCAUGCACGGCACGGGGAAGCCACCG